rnacentral:rRNA from 1 species
AUUGAACGCUGGCGGCAGGCCUAACACAUGCAAGUCGAACGGAGCGGCGGAAGGGUGAGUAAUGCCUAGGAAUCUGCCUGGUAGUGGGGGAUAACGUCCGGAAACGGGCGCUAAUACCACAUACUCUCAGAUGAGCCUAGGUCGGAUUUGCUAGUUGGUGGGGUAAAGGCCGACAAAGGCGACGCUCAGUAACUGUUCUGAGAGGAGGAUCAGUCACACUGGAACUGAGACACGGUCCAGACUCCUACGGGAGGCAGCAGUGGGGAAUAUUGGACAAUGGGCGCAAGCCUGAUCCAGCCAUGCCGCGUGUUUGAAGAAGGUCUUCGGAUUGUAAAGCACUUUAAGUUGGGAGGCGUUACCAACAGAAGAAGCACCGGCUAACUUCGUGCCAGCAGCCGCGGUAAUAC